UGCGCCCGUAGCUCAACGGAUAGAGCACUUGACUACGGAUCAAGAGGUUAGGGGUUCGAAUCCCUUCGGGCGCACAAG
rnacentral:tRNA from 1 species